rnacentral:rRNA from 1 species
GAGUUUGAUCCUGGCUCAGAUUGAACGCUGGCGGCAGGCCUAACACAUGCAAGUCGAACGGUAACAGGAAGAAGCUUGCUUCUUUGCUGACGAGUGGCGGACGGGUGAGUAAUGUCUGGGAAACUGCCUGAUGGAGGGGGAUAACUGCUGGAAACGGUAGCUAAUACCGCAUAACGUCGCAAGACCAAAGAGGGGGACCUUCGGGCCUCUUGCCAUCGGAUGUGCCCAGAUGGGAUUAGCUAGUAGGUGGGGUAACGGCUCACCUAGGCGACGAUCCCUAGCUGGUCUGAGAGGAUGACCAGCCACACUGGAACUGAGACACGGUCCAGACUCCUACGGGAGGCAGCAGUGGGGAAUAUUGCACAAUGGGCGCAAGCCUGAUGCAGCCAUGCCGCGUGUAUGAAGAAGGCCUUCGGGUUGUAAAGUACUUUCAGCGGGGAGGAAGGGAGUAAAGUUAAUACCUUUGCUCAUUGACGUUACCCGCAGAAGAAGCACCGGCUAACUCCGUGCCAGCAGCCGCGGUAAUACGGAGGGUGCAAGCGUUAAUCGGAAUUACUGGGCGUAAAGCGCACGCAGGCGGUUUGUUAAGUCAGAUGUGAAAUCCCCGGGCUCAACCUGGGAACUGCAUCUGAUACUGGCAAGCUUGAGUCUCGUAGAGGGGGGUAGAAUUCCAGGUGUAGCGGUGAAAUGCGUAGA